UAUGAUCCGCAGGGGAGCUGCUGAUACCGCAGCUGAGAGUGAGGUGGAAACCUCUGACCCUCAUAACUUGAUCCGGAUAAUACCGGCGAAAGGAGCGGAGCAGAGAGUAUA
rnacentral:ncRNA from 2 species